rnacentral:lncRNA from 10 species
AGCCCAGAGAAGUUGAAUGAUGCCAUCUCUUAGCUAAUGGGUAAGAGAGAUGAGUCCAGGCCCAGCCUGGAGGACCUAACGUGACCCCAGCUGGCUUUUGAGGAAACCAAAGCGUGUUGGAGCCUGGAAGCCUUUGGUCAGUCCCAUCAUUCCACCUCUAGGGAUCCCCUGUGACCUCCUGAACCAGAGCAGACUCCCUGGAGCCGUCCCAGGCCACAGCCCAGGUGUGAUGCUGGGCUGCAAGUGACAGCCAGGCCUAUGGUGCACUGCCCACAUUUGGGGCUGCAGCCCCUUCCUCUCCAACAUUUCCCACCUCUAUUUUUAACAGAAGCCAGUGCCCCUGCCAUCUCCUUAUCACUCACAGUCCCACUCUGCUGUCAUUGUCCCGCCCUAGAGAUGCUUUUGCUCCCAUUCAAAAUAAUUUAAAUAAAAUGUUGCUACAAAGCGG